rnacentral:rRNA from 1 species
GAUGAACGCUGGCGGCGUGCCUAAUACAUGCAAGUCGAACGCUGGAGAUCUAGCUUGCUAGAUCGAAGGAGUGGCGAACGGGUGAGUAAUACAUAAGCAACCUACCCACGAAGACUGGGAUAAUCUCUGGAAACGGGGACUAAUACCGGAUAGGUAAUCGGAAGGCAUCUUCUGGUUAUUAAAGGGUAAAAACACUGGUGGAUGGGCUUAUGGCGCAUUAGUUAGUUGGUGAGGUAACGGCCCACCAAGACGAUGAUGCGUAGCCGGCCUGAGAGGGUGAACGGCCACAUUGGGACUGAGACACGGCCCACACUCCUACGGGAGGCAGCAGUAGGGAAUUUUCGGCAAUGGGGGCAACCCUGACCGAGCAACGCCGCGUGAGUGAAGACGGCCUUCGGGUUGUAAAGCUCUGUUGUAAGGGAAGAACGGUAGAUAGAGAAUAUCUAAGUGACGGUACCUGACCAGAAAGCCACGGCUAACUACGUG